UCUCGCUCUAUCCCCCAGGCUGGAGUGCAGUGAUGUAAUCUUGGCUCACUGCAACCUCCUCCUUCCAGGUUCAAGUGAUUAUCCUGCCUCAGCCUCCUGAGUAGCUGGGAUUACAGGUGUGUGCCACCACGCCUGGCUAAUUUUUGUAUUUCUAGUAGAGACGAGAUUUCACCAUAUUGGCCAGGCUGGUCUUGAACUCCUGACCUCAAGUGAUCAGCCCGCCUUGGCCUCCCAAAGUCCUGGGAUUACAGGCGUGAGCCACUGCACCUAGCCAUUCUGAUUACUCUUUCUAAACUGCACAGCUCAUCCAUGUACCUGCCUUACUUAAAACCCUUAGCAAUUACCUAUUUAUUUCCCUAGCAUAAAAAUCCAAAUUUCCUUACCAUGUCCUGAAAUAUACUCACCUGUGAUCUGGCCCCGAGUUCCUCUCUGAAUUUAUCUCCUGUCCACCUCCCCUCCCACACUUCGCACUCUACUUCAAGCCAUACUCAGCUGCUCAAAGCACCACACUUGGGCCACACUUUCUCUUUUAUAACUUGAAUGCCCUCCUGCUUGCCUGGCAUUCCUUUGGUCCCCUUCUUUGCCUGCUCAGCUCUGACUCCCAUCAGGAAUGAGACCAUAUUCCUCAGGAAACCUCCCUGGUUCUCCUGAGCCAGAAUGGACUCCCUCUGUGCUCUCUUAAGUUGUGGUGCCCUCCUGCCGUGGCAGCUAGGCCGGGGCAUUGUCUGUUUCCCUUGGUGUUCUGUGAGCUCCUCAAGUGUGGGCAGCACAUCUUAGCUUGUUCUGUCUCCCCAGGGUCUGGCAUGGUACCUAGCCCUUGAUUAGUGCUUGCUGAAUAAAUGAAUGAUGGAGUCUCUGUCAUCUCACAGAGUACUUGCAAGAAUUAAAUGACAUGUGAAAAUACUUUGUAAACUGUAAAUGUGUUAGGGACAUUUUUGAGGGUCAAGGGAUUUAGAGAGGAAAUGAGCAUGCUAGGCCUCUGGACAGUGAAACCGAAAGGAUGUUGAGCUGUGGUGUUCUAGGAGAGUACCAGGACUGCUCUGAACAUGACAUACUACCUGGGACUACUUGUGAAAGGAAAUGAGCGUCCUGAGAAAUCACUUUGGGUCCUAUGUACUCAGGGAGGAUUGUUUUUAUAUGGUUCUGGUUUGUUCAGGAAGCACAGUCUGUCCUCCAGUCAGGCACUCAGUGAGCAAAUGCAUUUGUAGCUUGAGGCCAGAGCUUCCUUAUGUUUAUAUGACUCUUUAUUAGGUGAAACAUGCAGACUCUUGGAACAAUAAACUGUCUUUGUUACAGAUGUACACUAGAUUUUGAUGGCAUUUUUCCAGGGACCCUGGGAGCAUCUGUGUUCUCGUGUUCUUCUUGCCUGUGAGGCCUCUUCUCUCUGAGGACAGAUGGUAGGACAGAGAGAAGACAGCAAAUGGAAAACAAAGGCUGCUAUUUUUUUGUGGGGUGUGUACAAUAUCUAUUCUACAUCUCUGCCCAUCCCCAUUUUCUCCUCCUCCAGAGAGCAUACAAUUAAGGCUAGAAACUGAAGUGGAGCCCCCAUUAUUUACCCCUAAAAGUGAAUACAGAUCUCAGCCUCUCAUUACCCCUUGGUUAGAAAGAGAGAGCAUUUUGGUCUGUUUGGGCGACUAUAACAAACAUACCUUAAACUGGGUAGCUUUUAAACAACAGAAAUUUGUUGCUCACAGUUCUGAAGACUGGUAAGUUCAAGAUCAAAGCACCAGCAGAUUUGGUGUCUGGUGAGGGCCCACUUCCUGGAUCAUAGAUGAUGCCUUCUUGCUGUGUCCUCACAUAGUAGAAGGGCAAGGCAGCUCUCUGAACCUCUUUCUUUCCUUUUCUUUUCUUUUCUUUUCUCUUUUCUUUUCUUCUCUUUCCAUUAAUCCGAUCCAUGAGGGCUCCAUCCUUAUAACCUAAUCACUUCUCAAAGGUCCCAUCUCCUAAUACUAUCGAGUUGGAAAUUAGGAUUCAACAUAUUAAUCUGUGGAGGAAGGGGACACAAAAAUUCAGACCAUAGCUGGUAGUGACGGAGAUAGAAUGAGCCAGGUCCCAAUGUGGGGGCAGGUGUGAGGGGCGCAGUAGCUGGUCAUGGACAUGUGGAUGUUUGCUGAGUGAUGGGUGAGCAAGUCCCUGCCACCUCAUAGGGACACUGUAAAAACUGCUCUCUUGAUGACAUUAGCAGUGCAAUCAUAUUAGCAAUGACAUCCACCUUGAGGAGGGAUAAGAUGGGUGUGAACAAGAAGGAUAGUUUCUUUCUCCUUACAGCCUCCAUUAUGUAGCAUAAAAAUUAGGGCCCUCAUGUAUCCAGGAAAGCAGUCAGAGCAUUCAUUAUUCAAUAACCAUAGGUGCUUAUUCCAUACUGUUAUGGACUGAAUCGUGUCACCUCCAAAUUCAUAUGUUGAAGCCCUAACUACCAAUAUGACUGUAUUUGGAGAUAACACCUUCAAGAAGGUAAUCAAGGUUAAAUGAGGUCAUAAGGAUUGGAUCCUAAGCUGAGAGUACUGGUGUCCUUAUAAAAAGAGACACUAGAGAUCUCUCUCUCUCUCUCUUUGUAUACACAGAGAAAAAGUCAUGUGAUGACACACCAAGAAGGUGGCUGUCUGCAAGCCAGGAAGAGAGGCCUCACCAGAAACCAAUCCUGGUGCACCUUAAUCUCAAACUUGAGCCUCCAGGACUGUACAAAAAUAAAUAUUUGUUGUGUAAGCCCCCCAGUGUAUGCUAUUCUGUUAUGGCAGCCCUAGCACACUAAUAUAAAUGCCUACUGCCUGCAAAGUGCUUUGCCUUUGAGGGUUGCAAAAGAGGAUCCCCUCCAGGGAUCCAUGGUCUCAUUGGUAUUUUCCUGUUUGGUUUGUGUCUUGUUCUUGAGUCUCUGCAGGCAGCAUUUCUUCCUGUGACAAUAUGGUGUAAGACAAAAUUGUGGCCUGCCAUGAAGUUGUGAGAGAAAAGCAUCCCUCAUUUCUUCAGGAAAGGCCACUGCCAUUCCCUCCGGCUCCCCUUCUCAGGAGUUUGUGCAUCCAUGAGGUCCCCAGACAAUCCCGGUGUGCACACUUCCCUGCUUCUGUUCAUGAUGUUCUCUGAACCUGGGAUCACCUUUCCCCUUCCUCUUACCUGCCCGAUCCUACUUGUCCUCCCAGAUUCAGUUUUCUGAAGCUCAGAGGGACACCUUGUAUUGCUGGAUGAUAAAAACAGGAGCAAAGUGAUGAAGUGCUGACAAGGCAACAAUAGAACAUGAGAGAUUCACUGCUGUGUAGGAAGAGAUCUUCAGUGACCAUGUAGCCUGAAGCUCUCAUUUUGUCAUCGAGGGACACCAAAACUCAGAACAGGUGUUGUUCCUGAGCACUGGCUUCAAAAACCUUGCUGCUCAUUUAUCUUGUCUCACGGUGGUCUCCCAGGGAACCAACCAAAGACGAGGAGGAGGAGAAUAGUGGUGGGGGUGGGUUGUUGACGUCUGACUUCAGAGAAUUUUUCUUUCAUCACACAAUAAAAUUAAUAAAAUAAAAAGACAAGGAUUCGGGAUGCCCUCGGAGUUCAUCCAUCAUAUUUUCAAAAGGAAAUUUCAAGCCAGCAAUCUUCCCAUCAGCUUCCAGGAGUAUUUUCUAGAAUAGUUGAAGGGUGGUUUUGCCUAAAACCUGGGGGUUGGCAUAGGUGGCCUUUCAAGGAGGCUUCUAGCUUCAAGUUUCUGUCAAUUAUGCUUUGCAUAUCUAAGAGCUGUUUGGGCUGGAGAAUUUCAAAGAAAUUUUCAACGUGCCAGGGUUGAGAUUCAGCGUCUUUUUGCUGAGUGGGCAUUGAUGAGAAAUGCCUCUGAACUCUCAGGGGUGAUGCAGCCCCCUGGCCAGCCUGCCAACUCUACAUACUCUCAUUGCUCCAACGCUGACACGCUUGCUCAAAUUUUUAGGUCUAAUAUGGGCAAAUCUAUAGAAAGCAUUCCAAAAGCUAAGACACUUUUAACUCUCUCCAGAGCAGCCAGAGAUCCUCAUAGCAAAGCCAGGUAACCCCAGGGGCCAGGGGCACCUUACACACUAUCCCUGAGGGGCCGAGUCGGCUGAAAUCAGCCUGCACCCUGCUUGCCAGCCGUGCGCGGGGACACUGUGUCCACUUGGAAGACUGAAUGCCUUUCUCCAAUUUCACACUGACUACUUCCUCCCUGCCAAAAGCACACCUUCCCUCCAUCUGAAGAAAUAAAAGGAGCUUGGGGCCCCAGCAUGAACGAUUGCCAGGGCCUGGGACACACCUGUCAUGGGCAGGUUUGUCCAGAGUUCACAGAGCAUAAAGACUUAAUCUGCUUUCACAUUAAAUAGGCUGAUCUGAUACGACAACAAUUUCCCACUGUUAUUUGAAUGGCAAACAGGAUUUAGAGCACAAGGGAAGGAACUUUUUUGUAUAUAUAACUUUUCAUGCAGAAAGUUCACAGAGUUUACCUGUAAUCUUAGCUCACAAUCAGGCAAAAGGAUUAGAGCUGGGCAUGUAGAGCUUAUCAAAAAGCUCAGAGGGAGACCAAAGGAGGGCAAAUGCAAUUUUUUCUUUCCUUUCUUUUAUGCCCAUGUCAAAAUGCACGCGUUGGUCAACAUCUUGAAAACUCUCCAGCGGAGGUAACUCUACCUUCCUGUACCUUCAUGCCUGGCUUCUUCUACCAUCCUGUACCACCUUCCUGUACUACAACUAUUAGGUAGGUGCAAAAGUAAUUGCAGUUUUUGUCUUUAAAAAAAAAAAAAAAAAAGGCAAACACCGUAAUUACAUUUGCACCAACCUAGUACUUGAGGAUGAUGAUAGAACACUGCCAGAGGAGUACUGCAGCCCCAGCCUCAUGGCCAGAGCAUCUUGGUCACUCUGAAGGGGCAAGUAGGCCUUAUGUAAGGAGCAGGGCAGGCCACUUCUGGUGAAUUGCAUACCUUGCAGUGAGACAUGGGCUGAGGGUCCCGGGAUUGGUGAGAAAGGUUAGCAUGUUUGUGCCCCAAAUCUUCAGUCUGAGGAGGAUGGGAAGAACCUCUCUAGAAACACUAAAGUCAAUGGGAAAUGAACUUGGGCUUGAGUUAUUUUCUGAUCAAUUUGAUUUAAAUAUAAUGUUAAUAAAAAGAAUACAUAAAACUAAUAGCCUGAAUGACAGACCCAGUGGAUAUGACUUGCUUGGGGAAUUCGAGUGACUCUGGCUUUGAGUUUAAUAUGGCUUUUAUUGAAGAAAUUUUUCUUUAAUGGUAAAGAAAAGAAGUAAAUCACUAACACCUUAGCAAGAGUGAGUUUGUCAUCUGGAAUCAGGGGAACAAGAGAAGAGGGCUGGGAGUUGUGUGGGAGUUAGGAUGAGGGUAGACAGGAAUCUGGAAGUGAAGGGGAAAGGCCUAAUAAGGGAGUUUGUUCCCAUCCUGCAAGCUCAACUUUUUCAUGAACUUUUUCAGAGUUAAAAGAGCACACUAUAUUCAGUCCUAGCCUCUGUUUUGUAGCCGAAGUGUUGGGAAAUGUGCAUUUCCUUGUUUCUGCACAAUAGGGGUGCCUCAGACCUCCAGACAUAAACAAUGUAUCCCGCAGGCCAAUGCUUCUGAGUCAGGUUUGGGCCACAGGAUCCCACCAGAAUCAAGGAACAGCCAGCCUUACUGAAAACCAAGCCACCCUGAGCAAAUCCAUUUUGAAUUCCAAAGUUAAUGUGAAGCACCUAUGAAAAUAAACAUAGGCAGAAGCAACUGUUAGAGGGAACACCGUUGCUCUAUUUGUUCUGUGGGGGCUAUACCUAGAGGAAGCUCUCCUCCUACAAACAGAAUAGACCAUAGGAUCUGGAGAAAAGAGGCAACAAAUCAGCCAGAGAGUAUGUAGCUCUAGAUUAGUUGGGCUUCUUGUGUUCCUAAAUGUUUUUCUUCACAAAAGCCCCUUGGUCAUGUGGCAGUCCAUCUACCCGUCCAUUUGUCCAUCAAUCUGUGCAUCCACUCAUCCUUCCAUCUAUUCACUCAUCAUCCAUUCAUCCACACAUCUAUUCAUCCACCCAUCUCUCCACUUAUCAUCCAAUUAUUCAUUAAUCCAUCCAUCCAUCCACUCAUCUAUUCAUCUAUGAUGCACUCACUCAUGUAUCUAUUCAUCCACUCAUCUAUCCACCCAUCAUCCAUUCAUCUACCCAUACAUUCACUUAUUCAUCCAACUGUCUGCCCAUUAUCUACCCACCCAUCCCCCCUACCUAUCCCCCUACUCAUCUACUUCUCCAUCCAUCCCCCAAACACUACUUGAUACUCAUUACAUGUGCCAAGCUAAGGACAGCUGGUCAAACAUACUUAUCUACUCACUGGGUGGGCAGGAAGUAGGGUGUUCUCUUUGGUAAAGGAAAUGGCUGACAGACAUAAUAAGGCUCAGUAAGAUGCAGUAGAGCACAGAGAUAAAAAACACAGGCUUCAUCAUUAGUCCAUCACUUUCUAGCUAUGCAGGAAAGUUACCUAACUUCUCAGCACCUCAGUUCUGAGGUGAAGGAAUAAUAGUUCCUGCUUUACAGGGUUGUGGUAGGAAUUAAAUGAUUCAAUGAAAGCUAAGUGCUUAGCACAGUGCCUAGCACAUAUGAUGUGCUCAAUAAAUUUUAGCUUGUGUUAUUAAAAGUAGAACGUCUGGAGAACCAGAGUGAAUUACGUAAUCUAAAGAGGCAGCGGGAAAAGGGGUUUCUUAACCCAUUUCCCAUUUGCCCCGGAACACUUGCAGCUGCAGAGUUUACCCCAAGAUAACUCACAGAUUACAGUCCUAAUCUUACCACCAAAGUUUGCCAGAGAAUAUUUUGCUUUUAUUAUUAUUUUUGCAUCGCUGUGGUAUAUUGACUUUGGAAAAAAAUACAUCAUUCCAUUUAUAGCAUUCUGUUUUUAGUAGUGGUGUUUCCGUUUAUAAAAUAUAGUCAUUCUUGAUCACGGAAAAUGUCAAAUCCUAGAAAAUGUAGCAUUCCUAUGCAUAAUGUUAAUUCUGUGGUGAGCUUAUGGCACUGAAAUGGUGUGACAAGAAGGAGGUGACAAUGUUGUCAACAUUCCACAAUGAUACUGUGAUUGAAGUAAACAACAGAAAUGGAAAGAAGACUAAGAAGCCAUGUGUCAUUGUGGAUUAUCACGAGAAUGUGGGAGCAGUGGACUGGCUGAUCAGAUGCUCACUUCCUAUCCAACUGAGCACAAAAGGCACAAGGUUUGGUCUAAGAAAUUCUUUUUUGUUUAUUUAUUUACUUAUUUUGAGAUGGGGUCUCACUUUGUCGCCAGGCGGGAGUGCAAUGGCGCGAUCUUGGCUCAUCGCAACCUCCACCUCCUGGGUUUAAGUGGUUCUGCUGCCUCAGCCUCCUGGGUAGCUGGAAUUACAGGCAUGUGCCACCAUGCCCAGCUAAUUUUUGUAUUUUUAGUAGAGACGUGGUUUCUCCACAUUGGUCAGGCUGGUCUCUAACUCCUGACCUCAGGUGAUCCACCUGCCUUGGCCUCCCAAAGUGCUGGGAUUACGGGUGUAAGCCAUGAUGCCUGGCCUUAAUUAUAUGUAUACUUUUUUAUUUUUGAGAUGGAGUCUCGCUCUGUCGCCCAGGCUGGAGUGCAGUGGUGCAAUCUCGGCUCACUGCAACCUCUGCCUCCCGGGUUCAAGCAAUUCUCCUGCCUCAGCCUCCCGAAUAGCUGGGACCACAGGUGUGCACCACCACACCCAGCCAAUUUUUGUGUUUUCAGUAGAGACAGGUUUUACCAUGUUGGUCAGGCUGGUCUCGAUCUCCUGACCUCAGGUGAUCCACCCACCUAGGCCUCCCAAAGUGCUGGGAUUACAGGCACAAGCCAUCUGCCCAGCUGGUCUAAGAAAUUCUUUUGUCACCCUCUAAACAUUGCAGUGCUAAGCUCCUACAUCCUGUUCUGGAAGGACAAUCCUGAGCACAUGAUGAGCCAUAUAAACUUCAGACUGACGCUGAGUGAAAGAAUGCUGGAAAAGCAUCACAGGCCAGGGCAGCAAAGUCUUCAAGGUCAUCCGUGCUCUGAUGAUGUCACGCUUCUUCCCUGUCUGGAAGACAUUUCCCCAAGAGCAUACCACCAACAUCAGGGAAAUGGAAUCCAACUGGUCGCUGCAAAGUUUGCUGAGCACACAAUGAUAAAGAUGGCAAGAAGGUCCUGAGAGAAACGCAAUAUUUUUAUGCAGAAUGGGAUGUUCUGCCUUUGUCCCAUGCUUUGAAAUUUACCACAUGAAAAAUAAAAUUAAAUACUGAUCAUCA